GAUGAACGCUGGCGGCGUGCCUAAUACAUGCAAGUCGAGCGAACAGACGAGGAGCUUGCUCCUCUGACGUUAGCGGCGGACGGGUGAGUAACACGUGGAUAACCUACCUAUAAGGCUGGGAUAACUUCGGGAAACCGGAGCUAAUACCGGAUAACAUGUUGAACCGCAUGGUUCAACAGUGAAAGACGGUCUUGCUGUCACUUAUAGAUGGAUCCGCGCCGCAUUAGCUAGUUGGUAAGGUAACGGCUUACCAAGGCAACGAUGCGUAGCCGACCUGAGAGGGGGAUCGGCCACACUGGAACUGAGACACGGUCCAGACUCCUACGGGAGGCAGCAGUAGGGAAUCUUCCGCAAUGGGCGAAAGCCUGACGGAGCAACGCCGCGUGAGUGAAGAAGGUCUUCGGAUCGUAAAACUCUGUUAUUAGGGAAGAACAAAUGUGUAAGUAACUAUGCACGUCUUGACGGUACCUAAUCAGAAAGCCACGGCUAACUACGUG
rnacentral:rRNA from 1 species